rnacentral:rRNA from 1 species
UACAGAGGGGGCGAGCGUUAUUCGGAAUUACUGGGCGUAAAGGGCGCGUAGGCGGCCUGCUAAGUCGAACGUGAAAUCCCUGGGCUCAACCCAGGAACUGCGUCCGAUACUGGUUGGCUUGAAUCCGGGAGAGGGAUGUGGAAUUCCAGGUGUAGCGGUGAAAUGCGUAGAUAUCUGGAGGAACACCGGUGGCGAAGGCGACAUCCUGGACCGGUAUUGACGCUGAGGCGCGAAAGCCAGGGGAGCAAACGGG